AGAGUUUGAUCAUGGCUCAGAAUCAACGCUGGCGGCGCGCUUAACACAUGCAAGUCGCACGAGAAAGUGGAGCAAUCCAUGAGUAAAGUGGCGUACGGGUGAGUAACACGUGGAUCAUCUACCUCCUAGUGGGGAAUAACCCUGGGAAACCGGGGCUAAUACCGCAUAAGCCUGGAAAGGGAAAGCAGCAAUGCGCUGGGAGAGGAGUCCGCGGCCGAUUAGCUAGUUGGUAGGGUAAAGGCCUACCAAGGCAAUGAUCGGUAGCCGGCCUGAGAGGGCACACGGCCACACUGGCACUGAAACACGGGCCAGACUCCUACGGGAGGCAGCAGUGGGGAAUCUUGCACAAUGGGGGCAACCCUGAUGCAGCGACGCCGCGUGAGCGAUGAAGCCCUUCGGGGUGUAAAGCUCUUUCGGCAGGAACGAUAAUGACGGUACCUGAAGAAGAAGCUGCGGCUAACUACGUGCCAGCAGCCGCGGUAAUACGUAGGCAGCAAGCGUUGUUCGGAGUUACUGGGCGUAAAGAGUGGGUAGGCGGUUCUCUAAGUUCGGUGUGAAAUCUCCCGGCUCAACUGGGAGGGUGCGCCGGAAACUGGAGGGCUGGAGUAUGGGAAGGGAAAGCGGAAUUCCUGGUGUAGCGGUGAAAUGCGUAGAUAUCAGGAGGAACACCUGUGGUGAAGACGGCUUUCUGGACCAUCACUGACGCUGAGACACGAAAGCGUGGGUAGCAAACAGGAUUAGAUACCCUGGUAGUCCACGCCCUAAACGAUGCAUACUUGGUGUGAGCCGUUCAUUCGGUUCGUGCCGGAGCUAACGCGUUAAGUAUGCCGCCUGGGGAGUACGGUCGCAAGGCUGAAACUCAAAGGAAUUGACGGGGCCCGCACAAGCGGUGGAGCAUGUGGUUCAAUUCGACGCAACGCGAAGAACCUUACCUGGGCUCGAACGGCUUCUCAACGGCGGUGGAAACAUCGC
rnacentral:rRNA from 1 species